GAUGAACGCUGGCGGCGUGCCUAAUACAUGCAAGUCGAGCGAACAGACGAGGAGCUUGCUCCUCUGACGUUAGCGGCGGACGGGUGAGUAACACGUGGAUAACCUACCUAUAAGACUGGGAUAACUUCGGGAAACCGGAGCUAAUCCCGUAUAAUAUAUUGAACCGCAUGGUUCAAUAGUGAAAGACGGUUUUGCUGUCACUUAUAGAUGGAUCCGCGCCGCAUUAGCUAGUUGGUAAGGUAACGGCUUACCAAGGCAACGAUGCGUAGCCGACCUGAGAGGGUGAUAGGCCACACUGGAACUGGAACACGGUCAAGACUCCUACGGGAGGCAGCAGUAGGGAAUCUUCCGCAAUGGGCGAAAGCAUGACGGAGCAACGCCGCGUGAGUGAUGAAGGUCUUCGGAUCGUAAAACUCUGUUAUUAGGGAAGAACAAAUGUGUAAGUAACUAUGCACGUCUUGACGGUACCUAAUCAGAAAGCCACGGCUAACUACGUG
rnacentral:rRNA from 1 species